YUACGUGCCAGCAGCCGCGGUAAUACGUAGGUGGCAAGCGUUGUCCGGAUUUAUUGGGCGUAAAGCGAGCGCAGGCGGUUCCUUAAGUCUGAUGUGAAAGCCCCCGGCUCAACCGGGGAGGGUCAUUGGAAACUGGGGAACUUGAGUGCAGAAGAGGAGAGUGGAAUUCCAUGUGUAGCGGUGAAAUGCGUAGAUAUAUGGAGGAACACCAGUGGCGAAGGCGACUCUCUGGUCUGUAACUGACGCUGAGGCUCGAAAGCGUGGGUAGCAAACAGGAUUAGAUACUCUGGUAGUCCACGCCGUAAACGAUGAGUGCUAAGUGUUGGAGGGUUUCCGCCCUUCAGUGCUGCAGUUAACGCAUUAAGCACUCCGCCUGGGGAGUACGACCGCAAGGUUGAAACUCAAAGGAAUUGACGGGGACCCGCACAAGCGGUGGAGUAUGUGGUUUAAUUCGACGCAACGCGAAGAACCUUACCAGGUCUU
rnacentral:rRNA from 1 species